AUACCUUUCUCGGCCUUUUGGCUAAGAUCAAGUGUAGUAUCUGUUCUUAUCAGUUUAAUAUCUGAUAUGUGAGUCAUCGACUCACACGAUAUUAACUCUAUUUUUUAAGGGGGAGAGUCUAUUAAGGUAGCUUGCUAUCUGGGCUCUCAAGUGUCGCCUAUGCGUUGCACUAUUGCAAGGGCCUGGCGAACCCCAC
rfam:Nicotiana sylvestris Nsyl_contig46867, whole genome shotgun sequence.